rnacentral:lncRNA from 1 species
CAGUUGUUAUGGCACAGUUGCUUGGAAUUAAUCUGGGAUUGACAUAUGAUGAUAUCUACAAUUGUUACUGUCCAGGAACUACAUGCAUAAUGAAUCCUGAUGCGAUAUGAUCCCAUGGUAUGAAGUUUUUUAGCAGUUGCAGCAUGGAUGGAUUUAAACGGAUAGUUCUGCAGCCUGAACUUAAAUGUUUUCAGGAUAAAACAGUUUCAAAAAUGACUUACCGAAAAUCUUCAACUUGUGGCAAUGGAAUUUUGGAACCUACAGAGCAGUGUGAUUGUGGCUAUAAAGAGGCAUGCACUCAUAAAAAAUGCUGUAAUCCUGCAGAUUGUACUCUAGUUAGAUCUGCAGAAUGUGGCACUGGAUCAUGCUGUAACAAUAAAACUUGUACGAUCCACGAAAGAGGCCAUGUCUGCAGAAAAAGUGUAGAUAUGUGUGAUUUUCCAGAAUAUUGCAAUGGAACAUCUGAGUUUUGUGUACCUGAUGUGAAAGCUGCUGAUUUAGAAUACUGCAGUAAUAAGACUAGCUAUUGCUUUAAAGGAG